GCACAUUUUUCCUAAAAAGAACUAAUGAAGACGACGAGGCCGCUCUUCAGCAGCAGCCGCCUCAAGGCCCUGGCCCGGUAACGUUACCAAGCUCCAGUCAUGAGCCCAACACACCAGAGUGGGCAGUGUCAGAAACAGAGCCAGGACCCAGUUGUCAAGAGAC